GGCGAACGCUGGCGGCGUGCUUAACACAUGCAAGUCGAACGGAAAGGCCCUGCUUUUGUGGGGUGCUCGAGUGGCGAACGGGUGAGUAACACGUGAGUAACCUGCCCUUGACUUUGGGAUAACUUCAGGAAACUGGGGCUAAUACCGGAUAGGAGCUCCUGCUGCAUGGUGGGGGCUGGAAAGUUUCGGCGGGUGGGGAUGGACUCGCGGCUUAUCAGCUUGUUGGUGGGGUAGUGGCUUACCAAGGCUUUGACGGGUAGCCGGCCUGAGAGGGUGACCGGCCACAUUGGGACUGAGAUACGGCCCAGACUCCUACGGGAGGCAGCAGUGGGGAAUAUUGCACAAUGGGCGGAAGCCUGAUGCAGCAACGCCGCGUGCGGGAUGACGGCCUUCGGGUUGUAAACCGCUUUCGCCGGUGACGAAGCGUGAGUGACGGUAAUGGGUAAAGAAGCACCGGCUAACUACGUG
rnacentral:rRNA from 1 species